rnacentral:rRNA from 1 species
GACGAACGCUGGCGGCGUGCUUAACACAUGCAAGUCGAACGGAAAGGCCCUGCUUUUGUGGGGUGCUCGAGUGGCGAACGGGGGAGUAACACGUGAGUAACCUGCCCUUGACUUUGGGAUAACUUCAGGAAACUGGGGCUAAUACCGUAUAGGAGCUCCUGCUGCAUGGUGGGGGUUGGAAAGUUUCGGCGGUUGGGGAUGGACUCGCGGCUGAUCAGCUUGCUGGUGGGGUAGUGGCUUACCAAGGCUUUGACGGGUAGCCGGCCUGAGAGGGUGAACGGGCACAUUGGGACUGAGAUACGGCGCAGUCUGCUACGUGAGGCAGUGGUGGGGAAUAUUGCACAGUGGGAGGAAGUCUGAUGCAGCAACGUCGGGUGCGGGAUGACGGUCUUCGGGUUGUAAACAGCAUUCGCCUGUGACGAAGCGUGAGUGACGGUACUGGGUAAAGAAGCACCGGCUAACUACGUG